rnacentral:tRNA from 1 species
GGGCGAUUAGCUCAGUUGGUAGAGCAUCUACUUUACACGGAGGGGGUCGGCGGUUCGAGCCCGUCAUCGCCCACCA